UUCAAGAAUAAUGACUUCCUUAACUGGAGUGCCCUUUCUGAUGCAAUCAAGAGGUCAUUUCCUUUUAUUAACUGGGACUUCUUUCCUAAGCUAAAAGGAAUGAGAAGUGCAACUCCUGAUUCCCAGUGAUCAUUCUCUUUAAGACCUAGGACGGCUGACCCCCACUUUCGGAAGAGGAGGCUAGCAUGGGAUCAAC